rnacentral:rRNA from 1 species
UACAGAGGUCUCAAGCGUUGUUCGGAUUCAUUGGGCGUAAAGCGCACGUAGGCGGAUUGACAAGUUGGGGGUGAAAUCCCGGGGCUCAACCCCGGAACUGCCUCCAAAACUGUCAGUCUUGAGUUCGAGAGAGGUGAGUGGAAUUCCGAGUGUAGAGGUGAAAUUCGUAGAUAUUCGGAGGAACACCAGUGGCGAAGGCGGCUCACUGGCUCGAUACUGACGCUGAGGUGCGAAAGCGUGGGGAGCAAACAGG